GCACUGGUGGUUCAGUGGUAGAAUUCUCGCCUGCCACGCGGGAGGCCCGGGUUCAAUUCCCAGCCAAUGCA